CCAAAAUUCCCUUCUUUCUCACUGCUUCUUCUCUUAUCGAUGAAUAAGGAAGGAUAAAUCUUUUGAUCAUCAUCUUCAACCAUUUCUCGAUCAACUUCCUCGUCAACAUCCCCCCUCAAGUUGGAGGGUGUUGAAUACACACCCAACUUGCCGAUCAAAUUAUGAUGCUUUGGGCCUGUUAGCGAUUUAGUGAACAGAUCGGCUAGUUGGUGCUGAGAUCGGACAAAGGACAAUGAAAUUAAACCAGCAAGGAACUGUUGUCUCACGAAAUGAUACGAAAUGAUUAUCAAUUUCCACAUGUUUCGUUCUUUCGUGGAAGACUGGGUUCUUUGCGAUGUGGAUUGCGGCUUGGUUAUCUGAAUGAAGGGGAACUGGAAGUUCUAUUGGUGUUGAAAGAUCAUUGAAAAGGCGAAUUAUCCAUGUGAAUUCUGCAACUACCCGUCUCAUAGACCUAUAUUCUGCCUCGGCAGAACUGAGAGAAAUUGACAUUUCUUUCUUUGAUUUCUAGGAAAUUGGUGAGGAUCCGAGGGAGAUAUAGAAGCCACUUACUGAUUUCCUUGAAUCUGGGCAAGAAGCCCAAUCGGAGUCACAGAAAUCUUGAAGCUUGAAUGAUGAUGACGACAGAAAGAGCCCAAGACCUGGAUCUCUAAGGAGAUAGCGAAGGACCCGUAGAGCAGUUUCCAGGUGUGGCUGGCGUGGAUCAUUCAUAUAUUGACUCAUGUGUUGUAUAGUGAAUGAAAGAUCUGGUCCCGUAUGAGUUAGAUAAUUCAAUUUUCCGAUCAAAUGUCGGUACAAUCUUGGAUCUGGAAUGAUAUCACCAGUGUUGGCAACAAGUUUCUGGGUUGGAUCUAAAGGUGAAGACACGGGCGGCUUAUCUAGACAAUUGAACUCUUUGAGCAAAUCCAAAGUGAUCGUUCGUUGAGUCAAGAUUAAACCAGCCGAUUCCCGGACAACUUCCAUUCCCAAAAAUAAUAUAAGUUUCCAAGAUCCUUAAUUUUGAAUUCUUGAUCAAGGAAAGCUUUCAGUGCAUUUAGUUCCAAUAUGUCGUUCCCAUUUAGCACAAUGUCGUCUACAUAAACUGCUAAAAUGGAAAUUGAAGUUCCCUUUCUCUUAAAAAACAAGGAAUAGUCAUUCAGGGAAUGUGAAUAACCUUUGAAAUUUAGUGCACCAGUGAGUUUUAAAUACCACUAUCGUGAAGCUUUGUCGAAGUCCAUAGAGUGACUUGUUUCACUUGCAGACAUGUUUAGGAGUCGGGGCAAUCAUACCAGCCGGAAACUUCAUAUAGACUUCUUCGUUUAAAUCUCCAUGUAGAAAAGCGUUAUUAACAUCUAAUUGAUAUAUUCCCCAUCCUUUCUUGACUACAGUAGCUAAUAGACAUCUAAUUGUGGUCACUUUGACCACAGGUGAGAAUGUCUCAUUGAAAUAUAUUCCUUCACGAUAUACAUCUCCUCUAACGACUAAUAUUGCUUUCAAACGCUCAAUAAUUCUAUAUGAAUGUUGUUUAACCUUGUAUACCCAUUUGCAUGGCAGGGCCUUUUUUUUGGAGGAAGUUCAACUACAUCCCGAGUGUCAUUUUGUACUAAUGCAUCAAUCUCUUUCUGCAUUGCCUCUUGCCAUCCUAGAUGAUGGGUUGCUUGAUUAAAGGUUAGUGGUUCUUGAACAUUUGAAAAGCAAUUUAGGAAAUUCUGAUUUGAUCUUGAAAGUGUAGAAAAGGAGUAAGAAGUGGGUGUGAUAGGGGAAAGAAAACAAGAAACACUUACAUCUGUUAACUGGACUGCAUUAGUAACAUAGUCAUUUAAAUAGGAAGGAGUUUUACUGACUCUUAAGGAUUUUCUAAGUAUGACUGGUGAUUCUAUAUUUCCAGGUUGAGGACUUGGCUAACCACUUACAUCUGUUAACUAGACUGCAUUAGUAACAUAGUCAUUUAAAUAGGAAGGAGUUUUACUAACUCUUAAGGAUUUUCUAAGUAUGACUGGUGAUUCUGUAUUUCCAGGUUGAGGACUUGGCACUGGUAUAUGCAUUUCUGAAUAGGAAGGAGAAUUGUCAAUCCUCAUGGAUCUUCUGAAUGCAAUAGGUGAGUUCCUACUCAUAUUUUGAGGAUUUGGUGUAGGAACUUCUUGGUUGUUAGGUUCCAAAAUAUGGUCCAAGUCUUCAGAUCUCUCUUUUGAAUUUCCAGAAAAGAAAUCUUGUACAUCAAUAUUCUGUUUAGAUGAAUCUGAAGGGGAAAAGAGGUUUAUGAAUUUUAAUGGAUCUGAUAGAGGCAAAAGGAAAAUAUCUUCAUGAAACACUACAUCCCUAGAUACAAGAGUCUUUUGUGUGUUUAAGUUAAGAACUUUGUACCCUUUCUUACCAUGUGGAUACCCUAGAAAGACACUAGCUAAAGCCCUCGGAUCAAACUUUGUCCUAUGAGGUGUAAGAGUGGAGACAAAACAUAGACAUCCGAAGCACUUAAGUCUGGAAUAAUCAGGUUUAGUGUUAAAUAUGAUUUCAUAAGUUGUCUUGAACCUAAGUACCCUUAAAGGAAACUUGUUAAUCAAAUGCGUUGCAGUCAACAAACAAUCUUUCUAAAACUUCACUUGCAGAUGUGAUUGAUAUAGUAAAGCCCUUGAGAUUUCCAAAAUAUGCUUGUGCUUUCUUUCAACAAUUUCAUUUUGUUGGGGAGUCCCAACACAAGUUGUCUGAUGCACAAUCCCUUGUUUAAAAAAAUAUUCUUCCUGUACCUUUCCUGUUCCAAGCUCAAAAGCAUUGUUUGAACGUAUGACUUUAAUUUUACUAUGAAAUUGUCUUUCUACCAUGGCUAAAACGGAUUGUAAAACUGGAAAAGCAUUUGACUUUGUGCUAAGAAGAUAUGUCCAAGUUCCCCUACUAUAAUCAUCUACUAUAGUUAGGAAAUAUUUGUAUCCAUCAUAUGUAUUUGUAUUCUUUAAUUUUACUAUGAAAUUGUCUCCCUACCAUGGCUAAAACGGAUUGUAAAACUGGAAAAGCAUUUGACUUUGUGCUAAGAAGAUAUGUCCAAGUUCCCCUACUAUAAUCAUCUACUAUAGUUAGGAAAUAUUUGUAUCCAUCAUAUGUAUUUGUAUUGUAUGGACCCCAAGUGUCUAUGUGGAUUAAUUCAAAAACAGAUUUAGUAGUGAUAGAACUGUUUGGAAAUGGCAGCUUUGACUACCUAGCCAUUGGACAAAUAACACAAGGUAUAGAGAAAUUAUCACAAGAAGGACUAGGAAUAGAUGAAAUAUUCUUCAUAUUACUCAAAGGCAUAUGGCUUAGACGAUGGUGACAUAGCUUGUUCUUUACAUCUGAAAGACUGGAAAAGGAAAUAAAACUGAAGAUUCCUUCUGAUUACAAAUAUUCUUUCCUAGGACAACUCUACUACUAAAAUAAGAUGGCUUCUUGGAAAUGAGUUCCAAAUGCCUUGAUUCCAAAAUAUAUAUAGUCCACAGCUCUCCCUACCAAUCACCAGAGGCCUCUUCAUUGAAGGGGCCUGCAGAAAACAAAAUAAAGAAGUGAAUAAUAUGUUAUAGUAGUUUUGCUUGCACAAUUUGUGAACCGAUAACAAACUGAGUCUGAAGACUGGGACAUAUAAGACAUUAUGAAGAGUAAAGUUAGGAAAGAUUGUAAUUGAUCCUGAAUGAGUUACUUUAACCUUAGAUGAAUUAGGAAGGUUUACAUUCAAAGGUUUAGGUAGGAUAUUCAUGUUAAAGAGACAAGAUUCAUCAAAAGUCAUAUGUUCAGUUGCACCACUAUCUAAUAUCCAUGUUUGAUUGUUAUUAUGUGCAAAACAAGUUGUACAGUUGUAUGAAAAAUAUAUACCAGCUAGGUUCACGUAUGCAUUGUUCUCAGAGCUACUGGCAGCUUGCUUUCCCAUCUGCAACUGCUGUAGAAGCUGCAAAAUCUGGGUGAUGUUCUCCUGGGUGAGACAUUUAAUGCCUGAGCAUUGUUAUGCAUUGUCCUCUGAAACAAGCACAUUGUUACCCUGAAUAGAACCUUGAUAUUUCUUCUGAUUAGUGAACUUGAAAUCCGGAGGAAAUCCAACAAGUGUAUAACAUUCUUUUAUCACUUGACCUGGUUUCUUACAGUAUGAGCAAAAUGAGUUAUUCUUCUUUCCUUCAUAAGCAUAUUUCUUUCCCUUAAAGUCUCUAAAAUUGCUUUUCUUUCCAGGAGAACCUUGUUGUGCAACAAUUAAAGAAGCUGAAUCUCCUGGAUAGAUUGGAGCACAAUGAAUCUCUCUUUGCUUUUCAUCUUGGAUGACCGUGGAGUAGGUUUUCCCAAUAGUGGGUAAAGGAGAAGACAACAGAAUAUUGCUUCUCACCCAUAUGUAGGUGUCAUUGAGCCCCACUAAAAACUGCAGCAACCUCUGGUCUUGGUGAGUCUUCAAAUUCUUUCCUUUAGCUCCACACACACACUCCCAUGAACAUGUGGAAAAAUUAAUUAGAGUAUCUAACUCAUCCCACAAACUCUUCAUUUUCGUAAAGUAGCUAGAUACACUAGAGUUUCCUUGAACUACAUCACUCAGUUCUUUUUGAAGUUGAAACAGUUUAGCACCAUUUGUUUGACCAAAUCUGUCUUCCAAAUCAUUCCAUAGGUCCUUUGCACUGUGAGAGUAAAGCACACUCUCUGCAAUCUCCUUUGAUAGAGAGUUAAGCAACCAAGACAGGACCAUGUCAUUUCCUCUUGACCAAGCACUUUGAAGCCCCGAACUUUCAUCUGGAAUGGAGAAGGUUCCAUAAAAAAAACCCAAUUUUUUCUUUGCAGAAAGAGCUAUCACAACAGCUCUACGCCAAGAACCAUUGCUUUUGCCAUCAAAAGUUGAAGAAACCAGGUUCAUUCCUGGAUAGUCUGAGAGGUGAAGAAAAAAUGGGUGUGAUGAAUCAAUCAUUACUUUCUUGGAUGAAUCAGCCACAGCCACGGCCACAGGGUUAUUAACAUCAGAUGUUUCUACCAUUUUAAAAAGAAGAAGGCAGAAUGAAAAAGUGAGAGAAAAUUUUCAAAAUACUUAAAUGACCUGCUCUGAUUAUACCAUGAAGAAACUGAAAGAUUUUGAAAUCCAAUCCUUGAUUGGAAUGUUGUAUGUUCUUUUCUAGUCUAUA
rnacentral:lncRNA from 1 species